rnacentral:rRNA from 1 species
AUUGAACGCUGGCGGCAGGCCUAACACAUGCAAGUCGAGCGGAUGAAGGGAGCUUGCUCCUGGAUUCAGCGGCGGACGGGUGAGUAAUGCCUAGGAAUCUGCCUGGUAGUGGGGGAUAACGUCCGGAAACGGGCGCUAAUACCGCAUACGUCCUGAGGGAGAAAGUGGGGGAUCUUCGGACCUCACGCUAUCAGAUGAGCCUAGGUCGGAUUAGCUAGUUGGUGGGGUAAAGGCCUACCAAGGCGACGAUCCGUAAAUGGUCUGAGAGGCUGAUCAGUCACACUGGAACUGAGACACGGUCAAGACUCCUACGGGAGGCAGCAGUGGGGAAUAUUGGACAAUGGGCGAAAGCAUGAUCCAGCCAUGCCGAGUGUGUGAAGAAGGUCUUCGGAUUGUAAAGAACUUUAAGUUGGGAGGAAGGGCAGUAAGUUAAUACCUUGCUGUUUUGACGUUAACAACAGAAUAAGCACCGGCUAACUUCGUG